CAAAGACAGUAUAUAGGCACAGAGGUAAAGGUUUACAGUGUCAGGAGAACACUUGAUGACUUUAACAAUGCACUUAGGAGUGAUAUUCAGUCUAGUGGUCGGUGUAGUCUGUUCUGCAGCGGUGAAUCAGAAACCAUCCAGGAACAGCAGCUGGACUGGGAAGCUGUUAGUGGUGCCCAUGGAUGGAAGUCACUGGACAGGGGUGAAGGCCGUAGCAGAAGAAAUGGGACGCAGAGGACACACUGUGAUUGUGGUGAUUCCAGAGAUCAGCAUGCGCUUGGGUCCAGGCAAACACUACAUCACUAAGAAGUUUCCGGUUAAGUGCAAGCCAGAUUUACUCAACCAGAUGAUAAUGAAACACAUUAAUGAAUUGUCAGCUCCAGAGCAAUCCCUAUUGAAGAGAGUGACUUCAAAUAUCUACAAUUUAGGAAAGAUUGUUGACUGUUUCAUCUCUACAACUGAGAGUCUGUUCCAGGAGCAGGAGCUUAUAGAGUUUCUGAGAGAUCAAAACUUUGAUGCUGUUUUAACUGAUCCUGCAAUGCCAAUGGGAGCCUUAUUGGCAUAUAACCUGUCCGUACCUGCAGUGUACAUGCUAAGAGGAUUGAUGUGUGAAUCUAAAGCUACAGCCUGUCCAGAUCCUCCCUCCUACAUCCCACGUUUCUUCACACAAAACUCAGACCACAUGAAUUUUGGUGAGCGUGUAAAACACUUGCAAGUUUGAUGGAACCGCUGAUGUGUGGAUUUAUGAUUCGUACUUUUGAGGAAGUGACGUCCAAAUUUCUGCAGAGAGAUGUGAGCAUGACUGAGAUCCUGAGCACUGGAGCUGUUUGGUUGAUGCGUUAUGAUUUUACCCUGGAGUUCCCCAAACCCCUGAUGCCCAACAUCAUUAACAUAGGAGGAAUUAACUGUGAUGUUAACAACCCACUGAUGAAGGUGAGCAUCACCAUUAUAUGCGUAAUGUAUAGUGUGUUGUGGGUAACCAAAAUGGCAAUUUCAGUGUACUGGACCAUUUAUAUUCUGCUGUACAGUGUGUCUUUUCUAAUCUACUUCACCAAGCACUGGCAUCGCAUGAAUAAAACAGCAUUUUGUUGUUAUUUUUGUGGAUCUCAUUUUAAACUCUUAGACCCUUGAAGCUCAACAUUGUGCUUUGUUUUGUUUUUCAAGAGAAGGUCACUUACUCCUAGUUUCAUUGAUCAAGGUUUAAGCCUAGUCCCACAAAAUAAUUUAAGUCUGAGCUGUUUAAAUUGAAAGAAACUUGCACUGACUAAUUUUAAAUCAAUCAGAACUUUUGUUUUGUCUUAAGAUCGUCCAGUAUUUUUCUUUGGCCAUGUUCAUUGAACCAGGCCUUAGUG